rnacentral:lncRNA from 1 species
UGCAUGUUGUGUGUUGGUACACGAAUGAAGCUUUGGCCCCGGUCUCUAAAGGCCUUCAUCACACACAAAAACCACACGGUCCCUCGACUCACUCAUCUCAACAUACUCCGACCUCAAGAGAUGGCCCAUUAUUACAUUUAUCUGUUUAAUCUCUAUGUCCAGAUAACAUGGGUAGCAUACUCCAACCUGAUACAUUAUAACCCUUAUCGGUUUAAUCUCUAUAUCUAUAUAACAUAGAUUUUUUCCAACCAACUAGCCUAGCUCGUCAAGCUGAGUCUGGUAUCAGUAAACAUCAUUUGUUUGGUAUGGUCCACACAUGACCAGAAAAGAGAGGAACGAUCGCAAAUAAAGAGAAAUUCGAGAUAGUAACGAAUUAUGGAUUGAGAGAUAGAUUAUCGGUUUCAAGAGUGGGGCAAUCCUCUUGGAAGUGGGGGUUUUAGUUGGAGAUCAUAUUUCCAUAUGAUGGUAUGAUAU